rnacentral:tRNA from 1 species
GGUGGCUCAGUGGUAGAACGCUUGCCUUGCAUGCAGGAGGCCCUGGGUUCGAUUCCUCAGCACCA